rnacentral:rRNA from 1 species
UAGCGAGAAAAGAACUUACAAGGAUUCCUUCAGUAACGGCGAGUGAAGUGGGAAUAGCUCAAGCUUAAAAUCUCUGUUGCUUGCAACAGCGAAUUGUAGUCUCGAGAAGCGUUUUCCCGGUGGACCUUUCCUGUCUAAGUUGCUUGGAACAGCACAUCAGAGAGGGUGACAAUCCCGUUCGUGACAGGAAAGGCUAUCAACGAUACGCUUUCCAUGAGUCGGGUUGCUUGGGAAUGCAGCCCAAAAUUGGUGGUAAACUCCAUCUAAAGCUAAAUAUUGGCACGAGACCGAUAGCGAACAAGUACCGUGAGGGAAAGAUGAAAAGAACUUUGAAAAGAGAGUUAAAAAGUGCGUGAAACCGUUAGAGGGGAAACGGAUGCAGUUAGCAAUGCCUCAGCGAGAUUCAGGUGGACGCCUGGUCAGACGUGUAGUGUAUGGAUCCGCAUGGACUGUCGCUGUUCGGCCUGACCUUGUGAUCAUCGCACUUCUCGUUGGGGCGCGUCAACAGCUGCUCUGUCUGAGUGACAAGGCGUCCAGGAAGGUAGGCGCGUGCUUCGGCAUGUGCUGUUAUAGCCUGUGGCGAUACUAGCUCGGACGGGGCAGAGGCGAGCGGUGCAUGCUCUUCUUCGGAGGGGCUGGCGACCUUCUCUUGAUCUUGUGUCGACCAUGGCGGACUGCUUGCAGUGCGUCUGAACUGCUCGAGGUCAUUCGGGAGGCCAACGCACACUAUGCACCUCGGUUGUUGGCGGCCAUAUGGCUUCAUCUGACCCGUCUUGAAACACGGACCAAGGAGUCUAACAUGUGCGCAAGUCUUGGGGUGACUGAAACCCGAAGGCACAAUGAAAGUAAAGGCUGCCUAGCAGCUGAGGUGAGAUCUUCGUUCUACGCGUGCGAGGCGCAUCAUCGACCGACCUAUUCUACUCUUAGAAAGGUUUGAGUAAGAGCGCAUCUGUUGGGACCCGAAAGAUGGUGAACUAUGCCUGAGUAGGGUGAAGCCAGAGGAAACUCUGGUGGAAGCUCGUACCGAUUCUGACGUGCAAAUCAAUCGUCGAACUUGGUAUACGGCGAUAUCGCAAAACACACCCGGGGUAA